rnacentral:piRNA from 1 species
UCCACGACCAGGUAGCCGGCUGUGGGCAACU